UGGGGAAUAUUGCACAAUGGGCGCAAGCCCGAUGCAGCCAUGCCGUGCGUGUGAAGAAGGUCUUCGGGUUGUAAAGCACUUUCAGCGGGGAGGAAGGCGUUAAGGUUAAUAACCUUGGCGAUUGACGUUACCCGCAGAAGAAGCACCGGCUAACUCCGUGCCAGCAGCCGCGGUAAUACGGAGGGUGCAAGCGUUAAUCGGAAUUACUGGGCGUAAAGCGCACGCAGGCGGUCUGUCAAGUCGGAUGUGAAAUCCCCGGGCUCAACCUGGGAACUGCAUUCGAAACUGGCAAGCUAGGGUCUUGUAGAGAGGGGUAGAAUUCCAAGGAUAGCGGUGAAAUGCGUAGGGAUCUGGAAGAAUACCGGUGGCGAAGGCGGCCCCCUGGGCAAAGACUGACGCUCAGGUGCGAAAGCGUGGGGAGCAAACAGG
rnacentral:rRNA from 1 species